CUAACUAGAUCCAAUAUUCCUCUACCCAGAGCAACCAUCAAGAAGUCAAAUGGCCUAUUUUGUUACUUGGGAGUUCAGCCAGAGACACCAGUUCUUUUUCUGACACACCUUAGGACCCUGGGGACACCCUGAGUUCCACUUGGCUGGUAGACACCAUCCACGAAUCAGCUGUGGACUACAAACUGCUCCAAAGGUGACCUACACCACACCAGCCCCAGGUUUUGGCUUUAUGUCUCUGCUCUGGGAUUCUCCUUUCUUGAAGGAACUGCCCAUUUGAAAACUCUGCACCUCGUCCUUUCUACACCUGUGCCUGUUCCCUUGCUUUUCUGUCCCCUGCAAGCCCCUUUUGUAUGUCCACCUACAGAAUCCUGCAAAUACCUCAAAUAAUGUUCCCCUGCAAUCCAUUCCUUAACUAUUUCUAAUCUUCAUUCAGUUGCGGUUAUAAGAAAUCCUAAGUGUAGUGGUUUAAAAAUUUUUAUCAGCAUAUGAUUAUGGAAGAAAAAAUUCAAAAUGAGAGAAAAAUCAUUGCCAGCUGUACAUGUGACAGAAGAGUAAUGUCUAGAACACACAAAGAACUGAAAAACUAAAUAACAAGUAAUAAAAUACCCAACCAAUAAAUGGACUAAUGAUAUGAGCACAUAGUUUUCAAAAGAUACAGUACAGUCAAUAAGAAUAAAAAAAACCAUACACAUCCUUAGCCAUCACAGAAAGGCAGAUUAAAAACUACAUUGAGCUGGGCAUGGUAGCCAGCACCUUUAAUUUUAGCACUCAGGAGGCAGAGGCAGUUGGGUCUCUGAGUUUGAGGCCAGCUUGAUCUACAGAGUGAGUUCCAGGACAGCUGGAAAGGAGGAUGAA